rnacentral:rRNA from 1 species
CCUGGGAAUGGCGUUUUGAACUGGCAGUCUAGAGUGCGUCAGAGGGGGGUGGAAUUCCAAGUGUAGCAGUGAAAUGCGUAGAGAUGUGGAGGAACACCGAUGGCGAAGGCAGCCCCCUGGGAUGACACUGACGCUCAUGUACGAAAGCGUGGGUAGCAAACAGGAUUAGAUACCCUGGUAGUCCACGCCCUAAACGAUGUCAACUGGUUGUUGGGGGAGUGAAAUCCCUUUAGUAACGAAGCUAACGCGUGAAGUUGGCCGCCUGGGGAGUACGGUCGCAAGAUUAAAACUCAAAGGAAUUGACGGGGACCCGCACAAGCGGUGGAUGAUGUGGAUUAAUUCGAUGCAACGCGAAAAACCUUACCUACCCUUGACAUGUCCGGAAUCCUGCAGAGAUGCGGGAGUGCCCGAAAGGGAAUCGGAACACAGGUGCUGCAUGGCUGUCGUCAGCUCGUGUCGCGAGAUGUUGGGUUAAGUCCCGCAACGAGCGCAACCCUUAUCAUUAGUUGCUACGCAAGGGCACUCUAAUGAGACUGCCGGUGACAAACCGGAGGAAGGUGGGGAUGACGUCAAGUCCUCAUGGCCCUUAUGGGUAGGGCUUCACACGUCAUACAAUGGUCGGUACAGAGGGUUGCCAAGCCGCGAGGUGGAGCCAAUCCCAGAAAGCCGAUCGUAGUCCGGAUGGUUCUCUGCAACUCGAGAGCAUGAAGUCGGAAUCGCUAGUAAUCGCGGAUCAGCAUGUCGCGGUGAAUACGUUCCCGGGUCUUGUACACACCGCCCGUCCCCCCCAUGGGAACUGGAGAGAG